rnacentral:rRNA from 1 species
GACGAACGCUGGCGGCGUGCUUAACACAUGCAAGUCGAACGGAAAGGCCCUGCUUUUGUGGGGUGCUCGAGUGGCGAACGGGUGAGUAACACGUGAGUAACCUGCCCUUGACUUUGGGAUAACUUCAGGAAACUGGGGCUAAUACCGGAUAGGAGCUCCUGCUGCAUGGUGGGGGUUGGAAAGUUUCGGCGGUUGGGGAUGGACUCGCGGCUUAUCAGCUUGUUGGUGGGGUAGUGGCUUACCAAGGCUUUGACGGGUAGCCGGCCUGAGAGGGUGACCGGCCACAUUGGGACUGAGAUACGGCCCAGACUCCUACGGGAGGCAGCAGUGGGGAAUAUUGCACAAUGGGCGGAAGCCUGAUGCAGCAACGCCGCGUGCGGGAGGACGGCCUUCGGUUGUAAACCGCUUUCGCCUGUGACGAAGCGUGAGUGACGGUAAUGGGUAAAGAAGCACCGGCUAACUACGUG